UACGUAGGGGGCAAGCGUUGUCCGGAAUCAUUGGGCGUAAAGAGCGUGUAGGCGGCCCGAUAAGUCCGCUGUGAAAGUCCAGGGCUCAACCCUGGAAUGCCGGUGGAUACUGUCGGGCUCGAAUCCGGAAGAGGUGAGUGGAAUUCCUGGUGUAGCGGUGAAAUGCGCAGAGUAUACAGGAGGAACACCAAUGGGCGAAGGCAGCUCACUGGGACGGUAUUGACGCUGAGACGCGAAGCGUGGGGAGCAAACAGG
rnacentral:rRNA from 1 species